CAUAGGUUAAUGAGGCGAACCGGGGGAACUGAAACAUCUAAGUACCCCGAGGAAAAGAAAUCAACCGAGAUUCCCCCAGUAGCGGCGAGCGAACGGGGAGCAGCCCAGAGCCUGAAUCAGUGUGUGUGUUAGUGGAAGCGUCUGGAAAGGCGCGCGAUACAGGGUGACAGCCCCGUACACAAAAAUGCACAUACUGUGAGCUCGAUGAGUAGGGCGGGACACGUGGUAUCCUGUCUGAAUAUGGGGGGACCAUCCUCCAAGGCUAAAUACUCCUGACUGACCGAUAGUGAACCAGUACCGUGAGGGAAAGGCGAAAAGAACCCCGGCGAGGGGAGUGAAAAAGAACCUGAAACCGUGUACGUACAAGCAGUGGGAGCACGCUUAGGCGUGUGACUGCGUACCUUUUGUAUAAUGGGUCAGCGACUUAUAUUCUGUAGCAAGGUUAACCGAAUAGGGGAGCCGAAGGGAAACCGAGUCUUAACUGGGCGUUAAGUUGCAGGGUAUAGACCCGAAACCCGGUGAUCUAGCCAUGGGCAGGUUGAAGGUUGGGUAACACUAACUGGAGGACCGAACCGACUAAUGUUGAAAAAUUAGCGGAUGACUUGUGGCUGGGGGUGAAAGGCCAAUCAAACCGGGAGAUAGCUGGUUCUCCCCGAAAGCUAUUUAGGUAGCGCCUCGUGAAUUCAUCUCCGGGGGUAGAGCACUGUUUCGGCAAGGGGGUCAUCCCGACUUACCAACCCGAUGCAAACUGCGAAUACCGGAGAAUGUUAUCACGGGAGACACACGGCGGGUGCUAACGUCCGUCGUGAAGAGGGAAACAACCCAGACCGCCAGCUAAGGUCCCAAAGUCAUGGUUAAGUGGGAAACGAUGUGGGAAGGCCCAGACAGCCAGGAUGUUGGCUUAGAAGCAGCCAUCAUUUAAAGAAAGCGUAAUAGCUCACUGGUCGAGUCGGCCUGCGCGGAAGAUGUAACGGGGCUAAACCAUGCACCGAAGCUGCGGCAGCGACGCUGAUGCGUUGUUGGGUAGGGGAGCGUUCUGUAAGCCUGUGAAGGUGUGCUGUGAGGCAUGCUGGAGGUAUCAGAAGUGCGAAUGCUGACAUAAGUAAC
rnacentral:rRNA from 1 species